UGCAUCUGAAGCCUGACGAGGAUGAGAACCUCCGGGGGCAGGAGGUUCGACUCGAGCGCAGCGAGAGAACGUUGCGUCAGCAACGGCCCGCAGGGCGAG
rnacentral:sRNA from 1 species